AAUGCUAGCUAUAAGUAUUAUACAAGAUGAAGAGGAAAAAAUGGAUUGCGAUCUACUGAAUGGAAGAAUUACCCACACCAAGGACUUCACAGACCCAUUGAAAUAGCUAAGUUUUCAGGAUACCACUCUCUCCUGGUUCUCCUCUUACCUAUCAAAUUGCUCUUUCUCACUCUCAACCACAUCCUCAAUGGAUCUUCAACCAGAAUGCCCUCUAAUUGUCUUCAAGCAUUCAAGCAGAAAUUGGAGGAUCACUUUCUAGAGAUACUCUACAAGGAAUUAUUGUUCAGGUACAUACAUGGUAUCUGAGUUCCUUACAACAUUCUAUGGGCAUUCUGAACAAUUAAAAAUGAAUAUCAUACAAGAGCAAUGAAGAGGUAACUGACAAAUGUGAAUACCCUGUGACAUAAAGCCAAUAAAAAACUUCAAAGAAAGAGUUGAGUAAAAGAUGCCAUCAAGGACUCUAACACAAACCUUCACCUUUGACACUAACCUUAAAUGUCUCCUACCCCAACUCUAAGUCAACCCUAAAUACCUCUGACUCUAACCCUAACCCUAGGAAGAAAAAAUGGGAAAGAGAAAUAGAUGACAAGAGGAUAGUCAGAGUGACGUAGUAGUAACCUCAUGAUGUCAGAAGAAAUCAAGGAAGGACUUUACUACAUUGGAUGGACUAUUUUUAGUAUACUAAUGGGAGGAUAUGGACAAGAGCUGCAUAGGAAAAGCAGGCAUGCAUGAGUUGUGAUGGC